AGAUUGGGGGGUGCCCGAAAGGGAACCUGAACACAGGUGCUGCAUGGCUGUCGUCAGCUCGUGUCGUGAGAUGUUGGGUUAAGUCCCGCAACGAGCGCAACCCUUGUCAUUAGUUGCUACGAAAGGGCACUCUAAUGAGACUGCCGGUGACAAACCGGAGGAAGGUGGGGAUGACGUCAAGUCCUCAUGGCCCUUAUGGGUAGGGCUUCACACGUCAUACAAUGGUACAUACAGAGGGCCGCCAACCCGCGAGGGGGAGCUAAUCCCAGAAAGUGUAUCGUAGUCCGGAUCGCAGUCUGCAACUCGACUGCGUGAAGUUGGAAUCGCUAGUAAUCGCGGAUCAGCAUGCCGCGGUGAAUACGUU
rnacentral:rRNA from 1 species